CGGAUUUAAACCAAGGUUUGAACCGUUUCCUCGGUUUGUCAGUACUGUGAGAAAACCUUAUUACCGAAGAAGCCUGGAUGCUGCAAAACAAGAUUUGAAGCUAUUUUUUGUCGGACACAAGUGAGGCUGGACGUUGAACAUACCUGCGCCGCGAAGGCGUCAUUACUUUGUCUACGACAUUGUCCACAAUUGCUGAGACAUCGUGCAUGAUCGCAGAGACAUGGUCCAUGAUCUGAGGGACAUUGUCGAGGAUGAGGGACAGAGUUCCCCAGUGAAGAAGUUCUUUGAGACCAGGACUGAGGCCUCCAGGUGUCAACACUUUAUCCACGACUUCAUCCACGACAUCGUCCACGAUUGCAAAGACAUGGUCCAUGAUCGGAGAGACAUUGUUGAGGAUGAGGGAGACAUCGUCCUCGAUCAGAGACAUUGUCCACGAUUGCAGAGACCUUGUCAAAGAUGAGAGAGACGUUGUCCGUGAUCAGAGACAUUGUCCCAUGCUUCGUAGAGACCUUGCGAUAGAAUCGGCGGAGACGGGGGUCACCGAUUUGACGGCAUUGCCCGCGAUCAUGGAGACAUUGUCAAUGAUCACAGAGACGGCGUUUAUGAUCUCAGAGACAUCGUCCACGAUCGUAAAGACAUUGGCCAUGAUCACAGAGACUUUGUCCAUAAUCUCAGAGACAUUGUCCGCGAUCACAGAGACAUAGUCCACAAUCACAGAGAGUCUUUGUACAAUGAAGAAGUUCUUUGAGACCAGGACAGAAGCCU